UCAUAGCUCACUCGGUAGAGUGCGAGACUCUUAAUUUCAGGGCCAUGGGUUCGAGUCCCAUGGGCAAAC